AGGGAUGUAGCUCAGUGGUAGAGUAUUUGCUGAACAUGUGCAUGGCCCUGGGUUCCAUCCCCAGCAUCACAA
rnacentral:tRNA from 1 species